CGCCAUUUUUUUGGGUGAGUGUUUUUGGUUCCUGCGUUGGGAUUCCGUGUACAAUCCAUAGACAUCUGACCUCGGCACUUAGCAUCAUCACAGCAAACUAACUGUAGCCUUUCUCUCUUUCCCUGUAGAAACCUCUGCGCCAUGAGAGCCAAGUGGAGGAAGAAGCGAAUGCGCAGAGGCUGAAGCGCAAAAGAAGAAAGAUGAGGCAGAGGUCCAAGUAAACCGCUAGCUUGUUGCACCGUGGUGGCCACAGGAGCAGAAACAUGGAAUGCCAGACGCUGGGGAUGCUGGUACAAGUUGUGGGACUGCAUGCUACUGUCUAGAGCUUGUCUCAAUGGAUCUAGAACUUCAUCGCCCUCUGAUCGCCGAUCACCUCUGAGACCCACCUUGCUCAUAAACAAAAUGCCCAUGUUGGUCCUCUGCCCUGGACCUGUGACAUUCUGGACUAUUUCUGUGUUUAUUUGUGGCCGAGU
rnacentral:lncRNA from 1 species